rnacentral:rRNA from 1 species
GGGGGGGAAGUAAAAAAUUGUAACAAGGUCUCCGUAGGGUGAACCUGCGGAGGGGAUCAUUAACGAGUUAGGGUCUCUCUAGGCCCGACCUCCCAACCCUUUGUUUACCUAAACCUCAUGUGGGUUCGGGGGACCCGUCUCACGACCGCGGGGGGGAUCGCUGCGAAGCGUCUCUGGGCCGGGGUCCGCCGACAGCCAACCCCAAACUCUGGAUGAAUCGUGUUUUUUGUCUGAGUCUUGGGAUUAUAUCAAAAGCAAAAAACUUUCAACAACGGAUCUCUUGGUUCUGGCAUCGAUGAAGAACGCAGCGAAAUGCGAUAAGUAAUGCGAAUUGCAGAAUUCCAGUGAGUCAUCGAAUCUUGGAACGCACAUUGCGCCCUUUGGUAUUCCAAAGGGCAUGCCUGUUCGAGCGUCAUUAUCACCCCUCAAGCCCCGUGCUUGGUGUUGGACGGUCUUGGUCGAGUGUUCUCGACCCCUCCUAAAGACAAUGACGGCGGCCUGCGGAUCCCCCGGUACACUGAGCUUUUCACCGAGCACGUAUCGGACAAGGGCGCCCAGGCCACGUCCUCUCCUCUAACCAGGAAACAUUCCAAGGUGACCUCGGAUCAGGGAGAGACGCA